GGCUCCGUGGUGAAAUUCAUAGUGAGUUGCAAACUCAUUGAUGUGCAUUAGUCAUGCACCGGGGUCU
rnacentral:tRNA from 1 species